AACUGGUGGGGCGUAGGCCGUGAGGGGUUCUUGUCUGUAGUGGGCGAGAGCCGGGUGCAUGACAACAAAGUUGGCCACCAACACACUGUUGGGUCCUGAGGCAACACUCGGACUUGUUCCAGGUGUUGUCCCACCGCCUUGGUGGUGGGGUGUGGUGUUUGAGAAC
rnacentral:misc_RNA from 1 species